GACGAACGCUGGCGGCGUGCUUAACACAUGCAAGUCGAGCGGAGCGGCGAACGGGUGAGUAACGCGUGAGUAACUGCCCCCCUCUCUGGGAUAACAGUUGGAAACGGCAGCUAAUACCGGAUAGUGGGGGAUGACUCGGGUCCAAUCAGCCUGUUGGUGGGGUAGGGGCCUGCUAAGGCGACGACGGGUAGCCGGCCUGAGAGGGGGACCGGCCCCCUGGGGCUGAGGUACGGCCCAAACUCCUACGGUCGGCAGCGGUGGAAAAUAUUGCCCAAGGAGGGAAACCCUGAUGCAGACACGCCGCGUGCGGGAUGACGGCCUUCGGGUUGUAAACCGCUUUCAGCCAUGCCGCGGUAGUGGCAGAAGAAGCACCGGCUAACUACGUGCCAGCCGCCGCGGUAAUUC
rnacentral:rRNA from 1 species